GAUGAACGCUGGCGGCGUGCCUAAUACAUGCAAGUCGAGCGAACACACGAGGGGCUUUCUCCUCUGACUUUAGCGUCGGACGGGUGAGUAACACGUGGCUGACCUACCUCUAAGACUGGGAUAACUGCGGGAAACCGGAGCUAAUUCCGGCUAAUAUAUUUAACCGCAUGGUUCAAGAGUGCAAGACGGCUUUGCUUUGACUGAGAGAUGGAUCCGCGCCGCAUUAGCUAGUUGGUAAGGUAACGGCCUACCAAGGCAACGAUUCGUAGCCGACCUGAGAGGAUGAUCAGCCACACUGGAACUGAGACACGGUCCAGACUCCUACGGGAGGCAGCAGUAGGGAAUAUUGCGCAAUGGGCGCAAGCCUGACGGAGCCACGCCGCGUGAGUGAUGAAGGUCUUCGGAUCGUAAAACUCUGUUAUUAGGGAAGAAAAAAUGCGUACGUAAAUAUGCACGGCUUGACGGUACCUAAUGAGAAAGCAACGGCUAACUACGUG
rnacentral:rRNA from 1 species